UAUCUGGAAAAGUAUUGGAGGCAGAAAAUUUUUUUCCAGCACUGUAGAAACAGUACCGCAAGGGAAAGAUGAAAGAUAUUAAUAAACUGUAAAAAAAAUGCAUAGAUUAUCCCUACGACCUUUUGUGUAAUGAAUUAACUUGGCAAAGCAAACUGAAGUCAAUCACCCCAAAACCACACGAGCUACUUCUAAACAGCUACCAGAGCAAAUUUGUCUAUAUGGCAAAAUACUGAGAUUUAGAAGUAGAGAGGUGAAAAGCCAACCGAGCUUGGUGAUAGCUGGUUGUCCAAACAAGAGUUUUAGUUCAGCUUUAAGUUUUCCAAAAAUAUCUUAGUUCAAAUGAAAACUUAAAACUUAAUUUAAAGAGGAACAGCUCUUUAAAACAAGGAAACAACCUUCAACAGUGGGAAAACAAACAAUUUUAUCAUAGUUUGCCUAAAAGCAACUGCCAGUGAAGAAAGCAUUCAACCCCUUUAAAUCCUAAUUUCAAUAAACCCAAAUAAAUCCCUGUUUAACAACUGGAUUAAUCUAUACUUAUAUAGAAGAGAUAAUGUUACUAUUAGUAACAAGAACUAUUUCUCCCUACAAAGCUUAAAUCAAACUUACAUUUGAUUCUUAACAACUUAAGACAAGACUCCCUAUUAAUUAUCUUAUUAAAAGUAUGGUUAGCUCACACCAGAGUGCUAUUCAGGAAAGACUAAAAAAAAGGAACUGGGCAAACAUAAAUCUCGCCUGUUUACCAAAAACAUCACCUCUAGCAUGCCAAGUAUUAGAGGCACUGCCUGCUCAGUGGCAGGUCAGUUUAAUGGCCUCGGAAUCCUGGCUGUGCAAAGGUAGCACAAUCACUCGUUCUUUAAAUGACUCCUAUGAAUGGCCAGAAGAGGAUUUAACUGUCUCUUGCUUUCAUUCAAUGAAAUUGACCUCUCCGUGAAAAGGUGGGGAUAGACUAAUAAGACGAGAAGACUCUACAGAGCUUUAAUUUAUUAAUUUACUGUGUAUCAUCUUAAGGACAUAAAAUAAAAGAAUUAAAUUAAUAAUAAUUAUGCUUGAGGUGACCUCAGCGAACAACAAAUCCUCUGAAUGAUACUAACCUAGACACAACAAGUCAAAGCUCAUCAUCAUUAAUUGACCCAAAACCUUUUGAUCAACAGACCAAGUUAGCCUAGGGGUAACAGCACUAUCCUAUUUUAGAGAUCAUAUCGACAAUAGGGUUUAUGACCUUGAUGUUGGAUCGGGACAUCCUGAUGGUGCAGCCACUAUUCAGGGUUUGUUUGCUCAACAAUUAAAGUCCUACGUGAUCUGAGCUCAGACCGGAGCAAUCAGGUCAGUUUCUAUCCAUUAAAAAUUUCUCCCAGUACGAAAGGACAAGAGAAAUGAGGUCAAUUGGCCAAUUACACCUCAAUAACUAAAAGAUGAUAUCAUAUAAAUCUUAUAGUUAUUUCAACCACAACCCAAGAAAAGGGUUUGUUAAGGUGGCAGAGCCCGGAAAUU
rnacentral:rRNA from 1 species